GCCGGGUGUGAUGGCUCACACCUAUAAUCCCUGCACUUUGGGGGGCCGAGGCAGGAGGAUCACUUGAGGUCAGGAGUUCGAGACCAGCCUGGCCAACAUGGUGAAACCCCGUCUCUACUAACAAUGCAAAAAUUAGCUGAGCAUGGUGGCUCAUGCCUGUAAUCCCAGCUACUCUGGAGACUGAGGCAGGAGAAUCACUUGAACCUGGGAGUUGGAGGUUGCAGUGAGCUGAGAUCAUGCCACUGUACUCUAGCCUGGGCAACAGAGUGAGACUCUGCCUCU
rnacentral:sRNA from 1 species